rnacentral:rRNA from 1 species
GGCGAACGCUGGCGGCGUGCUUAACACAUGCAAGUCGAACGGAAAGGCCCUGCUUUUGUGGGGUGCUCGAGUGGCGAACGGGUGAGUAACACGUGAGUAACCUGCCCUUGACUUUGGGAUAACUUCAGGAAACUGGGGCUAAUACCGGAUAGGAGCUCCUGCUGCAUGGUGGGGGUUGGAAAGUUUCGGCGGUUGGGGAUGGACUCGCGGCUUAUCAGCUUGUUGGUGGGGUAGUGGCUUACCAAGGCUUUGACGGGUAGCCGGCCUGAGAGGGUGACCGGCCACAUUGGGACUGAGAUACGGCCCAGACUCCUACGGGAGGCAGCAGUGGGGAAUAUUGCACAAUGGGCGGAAGCCUGAUGCAGCAACGCCGCGUGCGGGAUGACGGCCUUCGGGUUGUAAACCGCUUUCGCCUGUGACGAAGAGUGAGUGACGGUAAUGGGUAAAGAAGCACCGGCUAACUACGUG